rnacentral:rRNA from 3 species
GGGUUGUGAGGUUAAGCGACUAAGCGUACACGGUGGAUGCCCUGGCAGUCAGAGGCGAUGAAGGACGUGCUAAUCUGCGAUAAGCGUCGGUAAGGUGAUAUGAACCGUUAUAACCGGCGAUUUCCGAAUGGGGAAACCCAGUGUGUUUCGACACACUAUCAUUAACUGAAUCCAUAGGUUAAUGAGGCGAACCGGGGGAACUGAAACAUCUAAGUACCCCGAGGAAAAGAAAUCAACCGAGAUUCCCCCAGUAGCGGCGAGCGAACGGGGAGCAGCCCAGAGCCUGAAUCAGUGUGUGUGUUAGUGGAAGCGUCUGGAAAGGCGCGCGAUACAGGGUGACAGCCCCGUACACAAAAAUGCACAUACUGUGAGCUCGAUGAGUAGGGCGGGACACGUGGUAUCCUGUCUGAAUAUGGGGGGACCAUCCUCCAAGGCUAAAUACUCCUGACUGACCGAUAGUGAACCAGUACCGUGAGGGAAAGGCGAAAAGAACCCCGGCGAGGGGAGUGAAAAAGAACCUGAAACCGUGUACGUACAAGCAGUGGGAGCCUCUUUUAUGGGGUGACUGCGUACCUUUUGUAUAAUGGGUCAGCGACUUAUAUUCUGUAGCAAGGUUAACCGAAUAGGGGAGCCGAAGGGAAACCGAGUCUUAACCGGGCGUUAAGUUGCAGGGUAUAGACCCGAAACCCGGUGAUCUAGCCAUGGGCAGGUUGAAGGUUGGGUAACACUAACUGGAGGACCGAACCGACUAAUGUUGAAAAAUUAGCGGAUGACUUGUGGCUGGGGGUGAAAGGCCAAUCAAACCGGGAGAUAGCUGGUUCUCCCCGAAAGCUAUUUAGGUAGCGCCUCGUGAAUUCAUCUCCGGGGGUAGAGCACUGUUUCGGCAAGGGGGUCAUCCCGACUUACCAACCCGAUGCAAACUGCGAAUACCGGAGAAUGUUAUCACGGGAGACACACGGCGGGUGCUAACGUCCGUCGUGAAGAGGGAAACAACCCAGACCGCCAGCUAAGGUCCCAAAGUCAUGGUUAAGUGGGAAACGAUGUGGGAAGGCCCAGACAGCCAGGAUGUUGGCUUAGAAGCAGCCAUCAUUUAAAGAAAGCGUAAUAGCUCACUGGUCGAGUCGGCCUGCGCGGAAGAUGUAACGGGGCUAAACAAUGCACCGAAGCUGCGGCAGCGACACUGUGUGUUGUUGGGUAGGGGAGCGUUCUGUAAGCCUGUGAAGGUGUACUGUAAGGUAUGCUGGAGGUAUCAGAAGUGCGAAUGCUGACAUAAGUAACGAUAAAGCGGGUGAAAAGCCCGCUCGCCGGAAGACCAAGGGUUCCUGUCCAACGUUAAUCGGGGCAGGGUGAGUCGACCCCUAAGGCGAGGCCGAAAGGCGUAGUCGAUGGGAAACAGGUUAAUAUUCCUGUACUUGGUGUUACUGCGAAGGGGGGACGGAGAAGGCUAUGUUGGCCGGGCGACGGUUGUCCCGGUUUAAGCGUGUAGGCUGGUUUUCCAGGCAAAUCCGGAAAAUCAAGGCUGAGGCGUGAUGACGAGGCACUACGGUGCUGAAGCAACAAAUGCCCUGCUUCCAGGAAAAGCCUCUAAGCAUCAGGUAACAUCAAAUCGUACCCCAAACCGACACAGGUGGUCAGGUAGAGAAUACCAAGGCGUUUGAGAGAACUCGGGUGAAGGAACUAGGCAAAAUGGUGCCGUAACUUCGGGAGAAGGCACGCUGAUAUGUAGGUGAAGUCCCUCGCGGAUGGAGCUGAAAUCAGUCGAAGAUACCAGCUGGCUGCAACUGUUUAUUAAAAACACAGCACUGUGCAAACACGAAAGUGGACGUAUACGGUGUGACGCCUGCCCGGUGCCGGAAGGUUAAUUGAUGGGGUCAGCGCAAGCGAAGCUCUUGAUCGAAGCCCCGGUAAACGGCGGCCGUAACUAUAACGGUCCUAAGGUAGCGAAAUUCCUUGUCGGGUAAGUUCCGACCUGCACGAAUGGCGUAAUGAUGGCCAGGCUGUCUCCACCCGAGACUCAGUGAAAUUGAACUCGCUGUGAAGAUGCAGUGUACCCGCGGCAAGACGGAAAGACCCCGUGAACCUUUACUAUAGCUUGACACUGAACAUUGAGCCUUGAUGUGUAGGAUAGGUGGGAGGCUUUGAAGUGUGGACGCCAGUCUGCAUGGAGCCGACCUUGAAAUACCACCCUUUAAUGUUUGAUGUUCUAACGUGGACCCGUGAUCCGGGUUGCGGACAGUGUCUGGUGGGUAGUUUGACUGGGGCGGUCUCCUCCUAAAGAGUAACGGAGGAGCACGAAGGUUGGCUAAUCCUGGUCGGACAUCAGGAGGUUAGUGCAAUGGCAUAAGCCAGCUUGACUGCGAGCGUGACGGCGCGAGCAGGUGCGAAAGCAGGUCAUAGUGAUCCGGUGGUUCUGAAUGGAAGGGCCAUCGCUCAACGGAUAAAAGGUACUCCGGGGAUAACAGGCUGAUACCGCCCAAGAGUUCAUAUCGACGGCGGUGUUUGGCACCUCGAUGUCGGCUCAUCACAUCCUGGGGCUGAAGUAGGUCCCAAGGGUAUGGCUGUUCGCCAUUUAAAGUGGUACGCGAGCUGGGUUUAGAACGUCGUGAGACAGUUCGGUCCCUAUCUGCCGUGGGCGCUGGAGAACUGAGGGGGGCUGCUCCUAGUACGAGAGGACCGGAGUGGACGCAUCACUGGUGUUCGGGUUGUCAUGCCAAUGGCACUGCCCGGUAGCUAAAUGCGGAAGAGAUAAGUGCUGAAAGCAUCUAAGCACGAAACUUGCCCCGAGAUGAGUUCUCCCUGACCCUUUAAGGGUCCUGAAGGAACGUUGAAGACGACGACGUUGAUAGGCCGGGUGUGUAAGCGCAGCGAUGCGUUGAGCUAACCGGUACUAAUGAACCGUGAGGCUUAACCUUACAACGCCGAAGGUGUUU